AUCACUUCUAUACCUUUUGACUAAGAUCAAGUUAGUAUCUGUUCUUAGCUGUUUACUAUUU
rnacentral:snRNA from 1 species